rnacentral:lncRNA from 1 species
GGGUGAAACACAUGUACCAACAAUUCGCUCUAAAAUCAACUUCACUCAAAUUUAAGGGAGGUAAGUAGAAUUUCAAAAUAUUUAGCAACUUCAGAGAAAAUUUAGAUAUACAUCUCAAUGAACACUUUGUUUAAGGACCACAUUUACACUCAACAUUUCUAUACAUCUCAUUCUUAAGCUGAAUUGUAAAGAAAUGGUGUAAUAUAUACGACUAUUUAUAUAUCAAUGGGGGCGAUACAAUGUUAUAGAAUAAAUUUGCAAGAAAUCUGACUCAAGUAUAUAAUCUCAAGCGAGUAGUAAUUUGCUGCCUGCACAUAGGGCAUAAAGAUAAUGUUGCGCCACACUCCUUGCAAGUCUACAUAAAAAAAAUAAAAAUAAAUAAAAAACAGAGCAUAUAAGAAUAAGAACCAGAUCCACUUUUACAUGGAGGUUAAACAAAAAUGCAUUUGUUCCUCUGUGUGGUAAUUCCACUUGGCGGGUGAAAAUAGAAUGGUUCUUUUGGCGGUGAAAAUAGAACAUUUUUUCCAAUGAGGUAUCAACAUUCAAAAUGUUCACAUCUGUGUGAUUUUGAUCGAAUGAUGAUUGUCGCUAGUUUUCUGUUAAAAUUUCAUUCUUUUUACGGUGGAUCAAAAUCUAUGAUCUACAAAAAAAUGAUGCUUAGCGAAAUGCAACCACUUUACUAUUGCAUUUAAUCCACGUCUCAAGUUUUAUUAUUUGCACAAGUAUAUAAUAAAUUGACUUACUGUAUGACCGCAUCCAAAAGCCAUGUCCUUUGGAUUUGUUAGACAAAUGGGGCAUAC